AUGCCUCCAUAGUUCGACCCGACCCAAGUCAUCGAUGUUUUGGUUCGAGUGACCGGCGGUAAGGUCGGAGCUGCCAGUUCCCUAGCACCCAAAAUCGAUCCUUUGGGUCUUUCCUCGAGACAUUGCCAAAGAAACCGCAAAGGACUACUGGAAGGGUUUACGUUUCACCGUCAAGCCAAAGUGACGGUGGUCCCCUUCGCUGCCGCGUUGGUCGUUAAGGCACUGAAAGAGCCAGACAGGGAUCGUAAGAAGACAAAGAACAUAAAGCAUAAUGGGAAUAUCAGCCUGGAUUUGAGAGGAACGGCGGGAACUUGCGUUUCUGCUGGGUGUAGGGUUGAUGGGAGAGACCCUAAAGACGUGCAGCAGGAAAUUUCUGAGGGGGAAGUUGAUGUUCCCUUGGAAAAAAAGAAGGUUCUUUUUUGGGAUAUAUAUAAAUAUUGGGAAUGUUGUAUUGCAGUUAAUACGCUUCCCUGUUUACAGCGUGUUUGGUUCGCUGUAAUGGGUAUGCGGUUACCCAUCUAUUACGCGCGUCCCACCUAUUCCUUUGUUUGCAUUACACCUUAAUUCCGUUCCGCAUCUAUUACGGACGUUGGCUGUAACAGCCAUUCUGAUCUUCAAGCACGGAUUAGGGAUUCCCCCCCAAUUCCUUACCAUAUUUUCCAUUUUCUGCCCUCAUCCUCUCCGACGUUUCGCAAGGUAAAUUUUUUUCCCUUCCAUCAAUUUCUGCUUCUUUUAUUCUCAUACGUUUCUUUUCUUCUCAGGUUUUUUUCUUUUCUCCAUUUUGUCAAAGAAGAUGACAACAUUGAAAGCCAAAGGGAGGGCAAGGGCAGUGGAAAUAGAAAGGAAAAAUGAGCUUAAAAAUCACCAUAACUCCAACUCCGCAACAGCUGAUUAAUCUCUCUCUUUUGAUGACAUUGCCGACUUCUUCUCUCUUCCCCUUGACGACGCCGCUUCCACUCUUGGCGUUUGCACCUCUAUUCUCAAGAAAAUCUGCCGUGAAAAUGGUCUCGACAGAUGGCCUCACUGCAAGCCGGAUGCAGGUUUAGCUGCAGCUAUACUGAUACAGAACCUCAGCAGGAUAUCUAUGGCUGCUACUGCAUAUUCAAAGGGAGAGUUGGAGUACGCGGCUUAUCUUUCUGAUCAGGAAAAGAUACAAACUAAAUUGGCACGGGAAGCAGAUGAAAGGGCAAGCCAGAAUAUAUUUAAAGCUAGGUAACCUAUUUGUUUGACAAGAUGGAAGAAUGGUUGGGGAUUGUUUUGUUUGAAGCGUUGCAGAAUGGCGCGGCAGUGCUAGAUUUAAAGAAGUUGGAAAAUCUAUUUUAUUAUAUUUUUGAUACUUAAAGUUGGGGAGUUUCCAGUGACACCCUAGUUGUUCUAUCUUCGAUUUUGUUGCUGGCAUGAGUUGAUUUGUUUGGCAUUUUAUAGAAUAGAUGAAUUAGUCAUAUUGUAUUUGUUACGUGGAUUAUGGUUCAUGGCUUUAUCUUACAAUAAUCCUUGUAUUAACCUAUUCAUCCAACAAUAAUUUCUUGUUCUGUUGGAUUCAUCCAACUUUUUUGGACCCUGGCAAAUUUUACAUGGUCGCCAAAGUAAACAGAACAUUUUCUUUGUUGACCAAUAUGCAUGAUAUCUUUAUAA